AACUCUAGACGGGGGAUCACUUCGGCUCUGUGCGUCGAUGAAGAGCGCAGCCAGCUGCGUUACUUAAUGUGAAUUGCAGGACACAUUGAACAUCGACAUCUUGAACGCAUAUUGCGGCCUCGGGUCCAUCCCGGGGCCACGCCUGUCUGAGGGUCG
rnacentral:rRNA from 1 species